rnacentral:rRNA from 1 species
UACAGAGGUCUCAAGCGUUGUUCGGAUUCAUUGGGCGUAAAGGGUGCGUAGGCGGCGCGGUAAGUCGGGUGUGAAAUCUCGGAGCUUAACUCCGAAACUGCAUUCGAUACUGCCGUGCUUGAGGACUGGAGAGGAGACUGGAAUUUACGGUGUAGCGGUGAAAUGCGUAGAUACUCGUAAGGAAGACCAGUGGCGAAGGCGGGUCUCUGGACAGUUCCUGACGCUGAGGCACGAAGGUCAGGGGAGCAAACGGG